rnacentral:rRNA from 1 species
GCAGGCCCUACACAUUGCAAGUUCGAGCGGUAGCACAGAGAGCUUGCUCUCGGGUGACGAGCGGCGGACGGGUGAGUAAUGUCUGGGAAACUGCCUGAUGGAGGGGGAUAACUACUGGAAACGGUAGCUAAUACCGCAUAACGUCGCAAGACCAAAGUGGGGGACCUUCGGGCCUCAUGCCAUCAGAUGUGCCCAGAUGGGAUUAGCUAGUAGGUGGGGUAACGGCUCACCUAGGCGACGAUCCCUAGCUGGUCUGAGAGGAUGACCAGCCACACUGGAACUGAGACACGGUCCAGACUCCUACGGGAGGCAGCAGUGGGGAAUAUUGCACAAUGGGCGCAAGCCUGAUGAUGCA